UUAAAUAUAUGUAUGUCACUCUAAAAGUAAUUAAAUAUUGAGAGGUGCCUGAAGACUGGAGGAUUGCCAACAUCACUCUGGUCUUCAAAAAGGGCAGGAAGCUGGAUCUGGGAAACUACAGGUCAGGCAGCCUCACCUCAAUCCCUGGAAAGGUGAUGGAACAGCUUGUUCUGAAUGCCAUCUCUAGGCAAUUGGAAGAGAAGAAGGUUAUCAGGAGUAGCCAGCAUGGGUUCACGAGGGGAAGGUCAUGCUCAACCAUCCUGGUAGCCUUCUAUGAUGUCAUCACCAGCUAGGUGGAUUAGAGGAGAGCAGUGGAUGCAGUCUACCUUAAUUUCAGCAAGGCAUUUGACACCAUCUCCCACAACAUCCUUAUAACAAAUCUGAGUUGGAAAUCAAUUCCACACCUUUGCUUCGUAUGCAUUUCUAUGUGAGAUGCCAUUUUGUCCAUCUGUCCCUCUGCUGCUUAAUAUCACUGAGCAACAAAACUUAACAGAAUACUGGAGGGAAGCUGCAGCCUCUACAGCUAUAUCACCAAUGUCUGCCUCUGACAUCGUGGACCAAAAUAAUAAAAUAGGAGGUAUUACUUUUGGAGCAAUCCCUGAGCUUGAAUAUAACUUCAAAUGAUGCAGAAAUUCCAAGUGGCUGAAUGUUGGAUAACAAGUAGGAAAAUCACUAUGAAAUAUAAAGUCUUAUUGCUCACUGUGAAUUCAGAAAAACACUGUGAUUGUGUAACAGCAUCUCUUGAGAAAGAAACAGGAACAAAACUGAAGUCAUUUUCUUUUCUUUUUCUUCAAUAAAGGUUAUGUGGGAGAGACA